UACGUAGGGUGCAAGCGUUGUCCGGAAUUAUUGGGCGUAAAGAGCUCGUAGGCGGUCUGUUGCGUCCGCUGUGAAAACUCGGGGCUUAACCUCGAGCCUGCAGUGGAUACGGGCAGACUAGAGGUAGGUAGGGGAGAAUGGAAUUCCCGGUGUAGCGGUGAAAUGCGCAGAUAUCAGGAAGAACACCUAUGGCGAAGGCAGCACUCUGGGACGGUACUGACGCUGAGACGCGAAAGCGUGGGGAGCGAACAGG
rnacentral:rRNA from 1 species